GUGGCCGGGCCUCGGGGGGACUGGUGCCAGGUGGGGAAGGUGAAGGGUGCAGCAAUUGUGGUGUAGAAAUGGAGGGCUGAUGCUGUGGAAGGUAGGUAUGUUUUUGGUGAUGAUGUGGACCGACUGGGCAAUAAAGCUAGGAGAAAGGGUAGUGGGAUGGUAAAGGAAAACAGGAAUGUGAGCAAGAAUGGGCCUGGAGGGCUUCGGGGUGAGUGGAUAGGGGACUCCCAUGCUUCUCCAGAGCUUACCUGCGGCUUUCCUCCCCGUGGUUUGAGGUUUAGGGGAAGAAAUUCAGGCUUGUGUCUGAGGAAGAGAACGAUAGAUACAUACAUUAACAGAAAGAAUGGCCACAAAGUGUAAGGGCACAAACUGUGCACAAAAUGAAGGGGGAGAGCAGCGUAAUGAGCAGCUGCGUGGAGAGGGUUUGGGCCUGGAGCGAGAGGAUGAGCCACCGCUGUGAGCAAUUUGUCUAUCCGCGCCCAGGUACCUGGAUACUGUGCUAAACAGCAAUCACCUCACAGUUAUUCAGGCUGCAGGUGCAGAAACGUGGAGCUGGUUCCCCUUGAGCUGCGUGGGUGUGAAAGCGGCGGAGCUGUACUUGCUGCAGUGCUGCGAUACACGGCUUUCGUGACUUAGGUCUGUCAUAAAGGAAAACCUGUUGAUCAGGAAUGCUUGAGAUUCUGUCAUCGCCUCCUCAGUGCUACUAUUUCACCUUUUUUUUUUUUCCUCUGAAAGAAGCUUCUUGGAUGUAAAGCCAGCAGUUUCUAAUCAACCCUGAAUUGAAUCAGAAUUGCAGUGAGUUGAGCAGAAAAUGAGAGCACCCCAAAACGCUCAUGUAAACGUUGUGAAGUUUUCUCUCUGAAAAGUCCUCACUGAGCACGGCAUAAAGCACCUGGAAGCAGUCCGUGCCGUUUUUGAGUGGUGCUGUGAUGUUGUUCUACCAAUUUUGAAUUUCAAGAUCCUCUUUGUCAAAAAGGGGAUGGAAUUUUGCAGCAUUUCAGAAAAAUCAGUUAGGCGGUGUGGUUCUGUGGCAGUCUGCUCUGUC